CUGGCAGAAGGGUGGGCCUUUCUCAGACUCCAUCUCUAGAGGUUUAUGUUACUGUCCUUUCGAGAGAAUCCAGAUUCAGAUUUUGAGUUCUGUGGCUAUUGGCGAAAACCAACAAAGACCCAAAUCCUCUGUCUUUGGGAGCUUGGGGAGAGUUGACCAGUUCGUGUUGCCACUUGGCCUGAGAACUUUGCCUUUUAAAUCCAUUCCUGGCCCCUGCCUACCGCUUCCUGGUCUGGGGAAUAGAGUUGAGGGGGCCCCCCCUCAGUCACCUGAAUUUGACUCUCCCCACAGAAACAACAGAAGAAACAAGUGGAACAUCAGCUGGAAGAAGAGAAUCCAAGGAUCUGACCAGCCACCUGCAAUAUUCCUUGCAGCGUAUUGGAGAGUUGGAGCAGGCUCCCUCUGCUGUCUCCAUGCAGCAGCAGGAAGAGGACAGGGUGAGUCCAAUGAGCUGCCCCAUCCCCUGGCAGCCUGGCUUCCCAGAUGCAGGAGUGAGCCUGAAGGUCCCUUCUGCAGGAUGCAGUGUCCUGCCCAUAAGGCAGCAUGCUCAUUUCUCGUUGCUUUUGUGUAUGGUUGUUAGAGGCAGCCUGGGGUGAGUCAGCUGCUGUGGGUGAGUUGGGGGCACCGUGGGGAGCGAGCACUGGAUGCAGAGCUCGGAGCCCACACUGCAGCUCGAGGACUGGAUGGUGAAGAGAAGUUUCGAUGUGGGGAGCCCAGGCCAUUCCACAGUGCCCCUUAAAAGGGCAAGGGGUAGGCUCAAUAUACAACUCGGUCAGUAAAGAUUAAGUCAUUUCCAAGCCCGUGGUCUAGUUUUUAAAA
rnacentral:lncRNA from 1 species